CCUACGGGGGGCAGCAGUGAGGAAUAUUGGUCAAUGGGCGCGAGCCUGAACCAGCCAAGUAGCGUGAAGGAUGACUGCCCUACGGGUUGUAAACUUCUUUUAUAAAGGAAUAAAGUGAGGCACGUGUGCCUUUUUGUAUGUACUUUAUGAAUAAGGAUCGGCUAACUCCGUGCCAGCAGCCGCGGUAAUACGGAGGAUCCGAGCGUUAUCCGGAUUUAUUGGGUUUAAAGGGAGCGUAGAUGGGUUGUUAAGUCAGUUGUGAAAGUUUGCGGCUCAACCGUAAAAUUGCAAUUGAUACUGGCAGUCUUGAGUACAGUUGAGGUAGGCGGAAUGCGUGGUGUAGCGGUGAAAUGCAUAGAUAUCACGCAGAACUCCGAUUGCGAAGGCAGCAUACCGGCGCCCGACUGACACUAAGGCACGAAAGCGUAGGGAGCAAACGGGAUUAGAUACCCGUGUAGUC
rnacentral:rRNA from 1 species